GGGUAUAGCUCAGUGGUAGAGCACAUGCUUAACAUGCAUGAGGUCCUGGGUUCAAUUCCUGGCAUCUCCU
rnacentral:tRNA from 1 species